GUAGGUGGCAAGCGUUGUCCGGAAUUAUUGGGCGUAAAGCGCGCGCAGGUGGGUUCUUUAAGUCUGAUGUGAAAGCCCCCGGGCUCAACCGGGGAGGGUCAUUGGAAACUGGGGAACUUGAGUGCAGGAGAGGAAAGUGGAAUUCCACGUGUAGCGGUGAAAUGCGUAGAUAUGUGGAGGAACACCAGUGGCGAAGGCGACUUUCUGGCCUGUAACUGACACUGAGGCGCGAAAGCGUGGGGAGCAAACAGGAUUAGAUACCCUGGUAGUCCACGCCGUAAACGAUGAGUGCUAAGUGUUGGGGGGUUUCCGCCCCUCAGUGCUGCAGCUAACGCAUUAAGCACUCCGCCUGGGAGUACGGUCGCAAGACUG
rnacentral:rRNA from 1 species